AAGGCCUUAAUGGAAAUAUGCGGCCGUCUGUGUCCUGAACCUUUAAAUGGCUUCAGAAUCCAUCUCAAAUAUCGUGAUGGUUCCAUGAAGUCAAGGCGGUUCCUACCUACACAUUCAUUGCAGAACCUUGGUACAAUGAAAUUAGACCCUACGCCUGGUUCCGUGACUUCUUGCUAGAUGUGGAAGGUGGAGAAAUGCAGGUGGACCAAAGUAAAAACCUUACUCUGCAAGAGGUCUUGGCCUUUGCUUCCGGGCUGGAAGAGUUGCACCCACUGGGAUUCAAGAACCAGCCAAUCAUUGAUUUUAUAUACACAGACUGCAAAUUCCCAGAAGCUAACACAUGUGACGUAGUCCUCUGCCUACGGAUACAUAGGAGCUACGAGGAGUUCUGCCAGCACAUGUGCAGUGGGAUAUAGCAGGCUACAGAGUUUGGAUGACAUAAACCACGUCACAUUGUUUCUUGUUGUUUUUACAGUUUUGACAUUUGUUUUAUCAGCCAGACACUACUCAGACCUCUCCUCCCCACUCUUUCUAUCCUACUCUCAUUACCCCUCAGCUACCCCACUCCCUCUCCCUAACCUACCGAACAGGGUAUUAGUUAGGUGGUCCAUAGCACAGCCAGUUACCCAAAGCCCUCCACUCUUGUUCUAUAUCAUCUAUAGUUGUUUUUCACUUCUAUGCUGCAAGACUGAGCUCCACAGAGUAAGUUUGUUACUGUUGUAAGUUUGUUAGUUGUCCUCUGUCUUCUGAUGCAAACAAGCCAAAAGUAUUGCAGCAAAUGUUUGGAGAGUCACACAUUAAAACAACUAAAUUGUGUUAUAAGACUAAACAGCCCUUAUAUAAAGUUUAUAACUACUUUUGUUAGUUUUCAGUUAUAGUUUGCUGAGAAUCAUUAAUUUGGACAAGACAAAAUCCACUGAAAUUCAGUGAAUGAAGCAUAGACAUAAUGUUUAUUUUCAGACACAUCCAGCUGCUUCUUUGCUUUAAAUAUUAUCAGACCAGUUUGUCAGCAGCUUCACCACAGAAGGCAGAAGACACAUUUCUCACGUUUCUAUAAAGAGACUUACUGGAGUGGUCCCACAUUCAACUAAAACUAAAGGACAUUAACAGUGAAACAGUAAUCACUGUAUUAUUAUUACAGAUAAUCAGUAUAUUAUGGAAUUCAUUAUUAAGCAUUGCUGCUAUUUAAUGGUAUUAUGUAAUUGGCCUAAUUAUAUGACUUUGGAGUACCCCAAACAAAGUAGCCUACACCUCUCAUAUCUUGAUAUAUAUCGGAGGAGACCGACCACCUGUCAUAUCCAAAAAAAGUUCUGGAACUUGUAGGUGGUGUGGCCUAAAUGAUUGCCAUUCUAGACUAUAUCACUAACUGCUACUAUAUGUAUAUGUAUAUAUAUAUAUAUGGGCAAUUUAGGCUGGGUAAUUAGGUAGCUUCUGUUCAGUUUAACUCAGAACUUCAAAAUGUAGUUUUGUUUUGUGGGUUCAGAUUUCGAGACACUCAAAUCGUAUUUGGCCUUAAACCUAGAGCAUAAUUACACUGAUUACUGGCAACAUUGUCUACCAUUUGUAUUGUAUCAAUUCGACAGCAAACCAGAAAUUUUAAAACAAUAAAACAAUUAGACAAUGUGGAUAACAUGAAUGAAUCUUACAGUGGAUAAAAAUGCACAAUUCAGUUGGAAUGAUAACAAUAGAUGAAGCUUUGUAUUUUACACAUCUCCUGCUACAUCAUCUGUGACUACCACUGCUGUGCCUAUCUGAUCCCUCCUCUUUGGGUGGAAGAAACUAGUGAUGUCAAUUAAUCAAUAAUCAAAAUAUUUUUAAUUAACACCAAAGGCACUGCUGAGGGUUCAAUUGUGUGUACACUUGACAAAGAAUCACGAGUUUUUCACGGCCAACCUGGAAGGCUUUGGGGUCGGAAGAAAUUACAACUGGAAAAUGUCAGAGGUGUCUCGAAUGCAGCAUUAGUUGCAGUGAUUAGGGGGGCUGCUGUCCAAGGUGCUGAAAUAAAAAAAACAGUGAACUUUAAUAGAAACCAAGAGUUGUUUUUGUUUUCUUGUUACAAAAAUAUUUCUAAGGCAGAACACACCUGCAGACAGAAACAAUCUCAUUAUGUCAACCUGAGUGGGAGGAGCCAAAGCACAACAGCAACAACACUAAACCUCAGAGAGAAAUACAAGAGGUCAGAUAAAUUUGGCAUGUAGCCACUGCUAUCUGUAGCUACAUAGCCAAGCUGAUCAUAAAUGUGG